GACGAACGCUGGCGGCGUGCCUAAUACAUGCAAGUAGAACGCUGAAGGAGGAGCUUGCUCUUCUGGAUGAGUUGCGAACGGGUGAGUAACGCGUAGGUAACCUGCCUGGUAGCGGGGGAUAACUAUUGGAAACGAUAGCUAAUACCGCAUAACAGUAGAUGUUGCAUGACAUUUGCUUAAAAGGUGCAAUUGCAUCACUACCAGAUGGACCUGCGUUGUAUUAGCUAGUUGGUGGGGCAACGGCUCACCAAGGCGACGAUACAUAGCCGACCUGAGAGGGUGAUCGGCCACACUGGGACUGAGACACGGCCCAGACUCCUACGGGAGGCAGCAGUAGGGAAUCUUCGGCAAUGGACGGAAGUCUGACCGAGCAACGCCGCGUGAGUGAAGAAGGUUUUCGGAUCGUAAAGCUCUGUUGUAAGAGAAGAACGAGUGUGAGAGUGGAAAGUUCACACUGUGACGGUAUCUUACCAGAAAGGGACGGCUAACUACGUGCCAGCAGCCGCGGUAAUACGUAGGUCCCGAGCGUUGUCCGGAUUUAUUGGGCGUAAAGCGAGCGCAGGCGGUUAGAUAAGUCUGAAGUUAAAGGCUGUGGCUUAACCAUAGUACGCUUUGGAAACUGUUUAACUUGAGUGCUAUAGGGGAGAGUGGAAUUCCAUGUGUAGCGGUGAAUGCGUAGAUAUAUGGAGGAACACCGGUGGCGAAAGCGGCUCUCUUGGCUUGUAACUGAGUCUGAGGCUCGUAAUCGUGUGGUAGCAAACAGG
rnacentral:rRNA from 1 species